rnacentral:rRNA from 1 species
GACGAACGCUGGCGGCGUGCUUAACACAUGCAAGUCGAACGGAAAGGCCCUGCUUUUGUGGGGUGCUCGAGUGGCGAACGGGUGAGUAACACGUGAGUAACCUGCCCUUGACUUUGGGAUAACUUCAGGAAACUGGGGCUAAUACCGGAUAGGAGCUCCUGCUGCAUGGUGGGGGUUGGAAAGUUUCGGCGGUUGGGGAUGGACUCGCGGCUUAUCAGCUUGUUGGUGGGGUAGUGGCUUACCAAGGCUUUGACGGGUAGCCGGCCUGAGAGGGUGACCGGUCCGAGGGGGAGAGGGCUGCAGCGCGGACUCGGAGGGGAAGAAGCAGUGGGAGAUGAGGCACGAGGGGCGGGAGCUGGAGGCAGGAGUGGAGGGUGGGGGUUGGCUGGCGGCGGGUGUGACACCGCUGUCGCGUGGGAGGGUGGGGGAGGGAAGGUAAGAGGAAAAGAAGCACCGGGGAACGAAGGGGUAGCAGGCGCGGUAAUAAUGGGAAGCGAAAACGUGUGACA